rnacentral:rRNA from 1 species
UACGUAGGGUGCAAGCGUUGUCCGGAAUUAUUGGGCGUAAAGAGCUUGUAGGCGGUUUGUUGCGUCUGCUGUGAAAUUUCGGGGCUCAACCCCGAACUUGCAGUGGGUACGGGCAGACUAGAGUGUGGUAGGGGAGACUGGAAUUCCUGGUGUAGCGGUGAAAUGCGCAGAUAUCAGGAGGAACACCAAUGGCGAAGGCAGCACUCUGGGACGUGACUGACGCUGAGACGCGAAAGCGUGGGGAGCAAACAGG